rnacentral:rRNA from 1 species
UACGUAGGCAGCGAGCGUUGUUCGGAAUUACUGGGCGUAAAGAGUGUGUAGGCGGUGCUCUAAGUUCGGUGUGAAAUCUCCUGGCUUAACUGGGAGGGUGCGCCGGAAACUGGGGUGCUCGAGCGUGGGAGAGGAAAGCGGAAUUCCUGGUGUAGCGGUGAAAUGCGUAGAUACCAGGAGGAACACCUGUGGUGUAGACAGCUUUCUGGACCAUUGCUGACGCUGAGACACGAAAGCGUGGGUAGCAAACAGG